rnacentral:snRNA from 1 species
AGCUUUGUGCAGUGGCAGUAUCAUAGCCAGUGAGGUUUAUCCAAGGUGUGACUGUUGCCAGUUGAAAGAAUAUUCUCAAAGAU